ACUCCUACGGGAGGCAGCAGUGGGGAAUAUUGCACAAUGGGCGCAAGCCUGAUGCAGCCAUGCCGCGUGUGUGAAGAAGGCCUUCGGGUUGUAAAGCACUUUCAGUCGUGAGGAAGGUGGUAGUGUUAAUAGCACUAUCAUUUGACGUUAGCGACAGAAGAAGCACCGGCUAACUCCGUGCCAGCAGCCGCGGUAAUACGGAGGGGUGCGAGCGUUAAUCGGAAUUACUGGGCGUAAAGCGCAUGCAGGUGGUUUGUUAAGUCAGAUGUGAAAGCCCGGGGCUCAACCUCGGAAUAGCAUUUGAAACUGGCAGACUAGAGUACUGUAGAGGGGGUAGAAUUUCAGGUGUAGCGGUGAAAUGCGUAGAGAUCUGAAGGAAUACCGGUGGCGAAGGCGGCCCCCCUGGACAGAUACUGACACUCAGAUGCGAAAGCGUGGGGAGCAAACAGGAUUAGAUACCCUGGUAGGACAGUG
rnacentral:rRNA from 1 species